GAUGAAGAACGCAGCGAAAUGCGAUAAGUAGUGUGAAUUGCAGAAUUCCGUGAAUCAUCGAAUCUUUGAACGCACAUUGCGCCUUCUGGUAUUCCGGAAGGCAUGCCUGUUCGAGAGUCAUUAACAACCGUUUCGAUCCCUUUCUUUCAGAAAUUACAAAGAGGAAAAGGGUUUGGUUAUGGUGGAGGAGGGAAAGGGAGCGUUUAGCCUGUAAAAAAAGAGGCUGUGUUCCGCCUCCCCCCCAAAAUUGUACAGGCGGUCGUGUGCGCCCACGCAUCGAGGUGUUGUAAAAGCUGCCACGGCACUUUUCACCUGUGCAGUGCGAGAUUGGCCAGCCGGUUUAAAAACCCCUCCAAACAAUCAAAGGUUGACCUCGGAUCAGGUAGGGAUACCCGCUGAACUUAAGCAUAUCAUAAGCGGAGGA
rnacentral:misc_RNA from 1 species